GAUGAACGCUGGCGGCGUGCCUAAUACAUGCAAGUCGAGCGAACGGACGAGAACCUUGCUUCUCUGAUGUUAGCGGCGGACGGGUGAGUAACACGUGGAUAACCUACCUAUAAGACUGGGAUAACUUCGGGAAACCGGAGCUAAUACCGGAUAAUAUUUUGAACCGCAUGGUUCAAAAGUGAAAGACGGUCUUGCUGUCACUUAUAGAUGGAUCCGCGCUGCAUUAGCUAGUUGGUAAGGUAACGGCUUACCAAGGCAACGAUGCAUAGCCGACCUGAGAGGGUGAUCGGCCACACUGGAACUGAGACACGGUCCAGACUCCUACGGGAGGCAGCAGUAGGGAAUCUUCCGCAAUGGGCGAAAGCCUGACGGAGCAACGCCGCGUGAGUGAUGAAGGUCUUCGGAUCGUAAAACUCUGUUAUUAGGGAAGAACAUAUGUGUAAGUAACUGUGCACAUCUUGACGGUACCUAAUCAGAAAGCCACGGCUAACUACGUGCCAGCAGCCGCGGUAAUACGUAGGUGGCAAGCGUUAUCCGGAAUUAUUGGGCGUAAAGCGCGCGUAGGCGGUUUUUUAAGUCUGAUGUGAAAGCCCACGGCUCAACCGUGGAGGGUCAUUGGAAACUGGAAAACUUGAGUGCAGAAGAGGAAAGUGGAAUUCCAUGUGUAGCGGUGAAAUGCGCAGAGAUAUGGAGGAACACCAGUGGCGAAGGCGACUUUCUGGUCUGUAACUGACGCUGAUGUGCGAAAGCGUGGGGAUCAAACAGGAUUAGAUACCCUGGUAGUCCACGCCGUAAACGAUGAGUGCUAAGUGUUAGGGGGUUUCCGCCCCUUAGUGCUGCAGCUAACGCAUUAAGCACUCCGCCUGGGGAGUACGACCGCAAGGUUGAAACUCAAAGGAAUUGACGGGGACCCGCACAAGCGGUGGAGCAUGUGGUUUAAUUCGAAGCAACGCGAAGAACCUUACCAAAUCUUGACAUCCUUUGACAACUCUAGAGAUAGAGCCUUCCCCUUCGGGGGACAAAGUGACAGGUGGUGCAUGGUUGUCGUCAGCUCGUGUCGUGAGAUGUUGGGUUAAGUCCCGCAACGAGCGCAACCCUUAAGCUUAGUUGCCAUCAUUAAGUUGGGCACUCUAAGUUGACUGCCGGUGACAAACCGGAGGAAGGUGGGGAUGACGUCAAAUCAUCAUGCCCCUUAUGAUUUGGGCUACACACGUGCUACAAUGGACAAUACAAAGGGCAGCGAAACCGCGAGGUCAAGCAAAUCCCAUAAAGUUGUUCUCAGUUCGGAUUGUAGUCUGCAACUCGACUACAUGAAGCUGGAAUCGCUAGUAAUCGUAGAUCAGCAUGCUACGGUGAAUACGUUCCCGGGUCU
rnacentral:rRNA from 1 species